rnacentral:tRNA from 1 species
GGCCCCAUCGUCUAGCGGUUAGGACGCCGGGCUCUCAAUCCGGAAGCACGGGUUCGAUUCCCGUUGGGGCCA